UUCCUUUGACUUUGGGGACAUUUAAAUGCAUUUAUCUUUUUAAUACAUGCUAGUAGCAACGAACAGGUGAGUUAAUCUACACUACAUACUGUAGAGUAUUACCAGGAAAAAUUUUUGGUUAUAGAAUAGUUUCCUAGGACAAUAAGGACAAAUCCCACAUUUUUACUGAAACAAGGAAAAAUAAUAUGCAGCAGUAUAGGAUAUUGUACAAUUAACUAUAGUUAGAUACAGAAAGAUAAAAAAAGCUGUCAAAUCAGGUGCCAGCAGACGCGGUUAUACCUGAGGCUUUAGUUUUAUAUCAAAAUUGGCGUAAAGAGUAUGUAUUAUAAUUAAAAAAGAGAAUAAAACAGAUUAUAAAGAGAUUAAAUUCAAUAACAUAGACUAGAAUUUCACCAAUUCUCAAAUUAUAAGAAAUACUAAAUAGUAGAUAGCCAAUAGGAUUAGAUACCCUAGUAACCUACUACCUAAAUUAAAAUUAGAUUAUACCAAUAAAACAAUUCGCCCGAGUAGUAUAAUCAACUGAUUGAAAUUCAAAAAGUUUGGCUGUUCAUUUUCCAAUUAGAGGAUUGUGUAAUUUAAUAUGAUAUUCCGCAUAAAACCUUACCCUGUUUAGAUAACCAGGUGCUGCAUGGCCGUCAUUAGUUUGUAUUUAUAAUUAACAGACUAAACCUCAAAAAGAUUAAGUCAGGUAUUAUGGCCUUAAUAACAGGGGAUAUAUGCAAUACAAUUUUUAUGAGAACAAAAACGUAAUAUCGGAUAUACUUUGAAAAUUUAUUGAAGUCGAAUUUAACAGUAAUCGAGAACAAUAAAGUUUCGAUGAAUAGGUUCAAAUGUUAGUACAAAUUGCCCGUCACCUUUCAUAACUAAUAAGUUAAUUAUUAGAAAUUAAAGCAAGUCGUAACAUAGUGAGGGAAAGGGAACUUUUCCUUGAAAA
rnacentral:rRNA from 1 species